CUUACCUCCAUGGUUAAAGAGUUUCUUGUUUAGCGAGGUUUCGUAUUAUUUAUUCUUUCAGAAGUUUAUUGAAAUUUGAAAUGGUAGCAGCGAUGAGUGAUGCUAUGAAGAAGCGUGUUGCUGUCGCAGUUAAAGUUGUGACAGUUGUAUUUAAUUAUGGAUUUAUCCCUGGUGUAAUAUAUUUGGGUUUUCGUAAAGGAACCGACUCUGGCAUGCCACCAUUGACUAUAAUGAACUUGCUGUGGCAAUGAUUUAGUAGAAUAUACAUAUUGGAACAAUUCUGUUUGAAAUAUGAAUGAAACUUAGAUUUGGUUUGCGUGAUCCGCGGUGUUGUGACUGUAGAUGCCACUUCUCUCUGGAAAGUGUUGCUCAUCCAUCCAGUAGCUGUGUACUUACAAGUUCUUGAAUUGUUUACUGUUAUUUAUACACGUUUUUAUGUAAAACACUCAUUUAAUUUUCAAUAAAGGUGGUUUCUACCCUGUUUUAUUUA